rnacentral:tRNA from 1 species
GCCCGAGUGGUGGAACUGGCAGACACAAGGGACUUAAAAUCCCUCGCCCUGCGGGCGUGUGGGUUCGAAUCCCACCUCGGGCACCA